GGUAAUAAUGAGCUUUAUAAAUUGAUAAUCUACCACUUACAUGCAAAGGGGAGAAAGUAUGGCUAAAAUUGUCAUGCUUGUUUUUGUUAUGAUUAUCUUUAUUUUUCCAUUUGUUGUUGCAACGAGCAGUCAAUUAUUUGGUGUAUGUUUUGAAGACCUGGAUUGUAUGUUUUGGACAUGCGCGCCUUUAACGAACCCUAAAUGUGGGUUUUUUGAUGGAAUUGGGUGGCGUGGAGAGCAACCAGGCGAGUGUUACUGUAUUUGAGUAUUGUUAGAUUCUACUAGAAAAUUCCAUGAGCAACCAGGGGAUAAUUUAUGUUUUUCAUGGACCAUAUAGUUGUGGUUUUGUACUCUAGGAUGAUUUUAAUGAAAUGAGAUUUGAUGGCAA